rnacentral:rRNA from 1 species
AUGUUUGGUACCUGCGCCGGGGGUGAUGCAGACGAGGCCGGUCAUCAUGCCCUGGACGGCGCCGAUGACGGACGGCUUGCCGAAGAAGAUGACGUCGAGGCAGGUCCAGGUGAGGAGGCUCGUCGCCGCGCUGACGUUGGUGUUGAGCACGGCGAUGGACGCCGUGAUGUUGGCGGCGUAGGGCGCGCCGCCGUUGAACCCGGCCCACCCCAUCCACAGCAGCCCGCCGCCGGCGAUCAUGAGCAGGAUGUUGUUCGGGGAGAACCGCUCCCGGUCGCUCUUCAGCCUCGGAAGCUGCGCACGUACCCAGUAGGCGGCGGUGAAGCCGGCGAUGCCGGAGGAGAGGUGGAUGACGUAGCCGCCGGAGUAGUCGAUGACGCCCCAGUGGUAGAGGAAGCCGCCGCCCCAGAGGCUGAAGGCGCCGACGGUGUAGGAGAGCAUGAGCCAGAGCGGCGUGAAGGCCAUCCAGGCCUUGAUGUUCAUGCGGCCCAGCACGGAGCCCGCCAGCAGGAUGAGCGUGAUGGCCGCGAACUCGAACUGGAACAGCACCAGCGUCGCCUCCGGGUAGAAGGGCUCCACCAGCGGCGUGCUCCCGCGCUCCGUCGCCGACAGCUUGGCGCGGCCGACGAGGUAGUCCUGCGACAGCGCCACGCCGGCCUUGCCCCAGAAGGGCAGCAGCCGCUCGCCGAACGCCAUGCGGAACCCCACCAGCACCCACACCAGCAGCGAGGAGGCGUAGGCGUAGAGCGCCAUGAAGGCCGAGUUGACGGCCCACUUCUUCUUCACGAUGCUGCCGUAGAGGACGACCAGGCCCGGCAUGGACUGGAUGCCCACCAUCGUCGCCGCCGUCAGCUGCCACGCGUUGUCGCCCUUGUUCAGCCAGUCCGGCACCGCCGGCGAGCCCGCCGCGUACGCCAUCUCUCUCGA